rnacentral:lncRNA from 1 species
GCAAAGAUUAUGGCUAUGGAUGUUCUUCAAGGAAAAUGGAAUCUAUCCUCUUAAAAAUUCAGUACCACACAGAAUGGUUGGGGGAUAAAAAGUACUGAAGGAGUCAAGUAUCUGUAUAGACACCCCAUAUUUAUUUCCUUCAAACUCUUGUCUAUGGCUAUUCCCAUGAUGCAUGCAACCAAAAUGAAUAAACAAGUGAAUUCUCAUGAACCCUUAAGAAAUACGAAAUCCCUCCCAGGUAUUGCCACCUAGCUGGUGUUGUAACUGAGUCUUCAAAAGGCCAUUCCACAGUUUUAUCAAGCCAACUUCUUCAAGAUGGUGGGGAACAUGGUAAGACCAGUGAAUUCCAUGAGUAUGGACCCAUCACCACACUUCUUUUGCUGUGAAGUGAGUUC